rnacentral:tRNA from 1 species
CAAAUUAGAGCUUGAAAAAUAAGUAUUUCAUUUACAUUGGAAAGAUAUUAUAUUAAUUAAUUUGA